rnacentral:misc_RNA from 1 species
AAGUCGUAACAAGGUUUCCGUAGGUGAACCUGCGGAAGGAUCAUUACUGAAUUGUCAACACGAGUUGUUGCUGGUCCUCAAAUGGGGGCAUGUGCACACUCUGUUUACACAUCCACUCACACCUGUGCACCCUCUGUAGUUCUGUGGCUGGGGGACUCUGUCCUCCUGCUGUGGUUCUAUGUCUUUACACACACUCUGUAUUAAAGUCUCAUGGAAUGUAUGCCGCGUUUAACGCAAUAAAAUACAACUUUCAGCAACGGAUCUCUUGGCUCUC